rnacentral:rRNA from 1 species
GACGAACGCUGGCGGCGUGCUUUACACAUGCAAGUCGAACGGAAAGGCCCUGCUUGCAGGGUGCUCGAGUGGCGAACGGGUGAGUAACACGUGGGUGAUCUGCCCCUUACUUUGGGAUAAGCCUGGGAAACUGGGUCUAAUACUGGAUAGGACCAUGCUGUAGGUGGUGUGGUGGAAAGAUUAGUUUCGGUAAGGGAUGAGCUCGCGGCUUAUCAGCUUGUUGGUGGGGUAAUGGCCUACCAAGGCGUCGACGGGUAGCCGGCCUGAGAGGGUGGACGGCCACAUUGGGACUGAGAUACGGCCCAGACUCCUACGGGAGGCAGCAGUGGGGAAUAUUGCACAAUGGGCGCAAGCCUGAUGCAGCGACGCCGCGUGGGGGAUGACGGCCUUCGGGUUGUAAACUCCUUUCAGCCAUGACGAAGCCCUUGUGGUGACGGUAGUGGUAGAAGAAGCACCGGCUAACUACGUG